rnacentral:rRNA from 1 species
UACGUAGGGUGCGAGCGUUGUCCGGAAUUACUGGGCGUAAAGAGCUCGUAGGUGGUUUGUCGCGUUGUUCGUGAAAACUCACGGCUUAACUGUGAGCGUGCGGGCGAUACGGGCAGACUGGAGUACUGCAGGGGAGACUGGAAUUCCUGGUGUAGCGGUGGAAUGCGCAGAUAUCGGGAGGAACACCGGUGGCGAAGGCGGUUCUCUGGGCCUUACCUGACGCUGAGGAGCGAAAGCGUGGGGAGCGAACAGG